rnacentral:rRNA from 1 species
GACGAACGCUGGCGGCGUGCUCAACACAUGCAAGUCGAACGAGUGGCGAACGGGUGAGUAACACGUGGGUGACCUGCCCUGCACUUAGGGAUGAGACUGGGAAACUGGGUCUAAUACCGGAUCGUGCGGGAUGGGCCCGCGGCCUAUCAGCUUGUUGGUGGGGUAAAGGCCACCUAGGCGGGAUCGCUAGAUGGUCUGAGAGGAUGAUCAGCCACACUGGGACUGAGACACGGCCCAGACUCCUACGGGAGGCAGCAGUGGGGAAUAUUGUACAAUGGGCGCAAGCCUGAUGCAGCCAUGCCGCGUGUAUGAAGAAGGCCUUAGGGUUGUAAAGUACUUUCAGCGGGGAGGCGUUACCCGAAGAAGAAGCACCGGCUAACUACGUGCCAGCAGCCGCGGUAAUUC